AACCCAUAGAAGUAUUUCUGAGUCUGUAUCACGCCAGUUCCUCCAUGUUUGUUGUAGUCAGAUGACCUGGAUGGAGAGAUAGACCUGACGACCUGUAUGAACGUCCAAGACUUUGACGUGGAGAAGAACUAUGGAUUCCAGAUACAUACAAAGAAAGUAGUGUUCACUCUGUCAGCCUCGACCUCCAGGAUCAGGAGGAAGUGGGUUAAUGUGCUGAGACGGACUAUCCAACCCAGACACUCUUCAGACAUCACACCAUGGUCAGACAGUGAAAGAGAAAACUCUCAGCCUG